UACAGAGGGGGCAAGCGUUGUUCGGAAUUACUGGGCGUAAAGGGCGCGUAGGCGGCCGCCUAAGUCAGACGUGAAAUCCCUCGGCUCAACCGGGGAACUGCGUCUGAUACUGGGUGGCUUGAAUCCGGGAGAGGGAUGCGGAAUUCCAGGUGUAGCGGUGAAAUGCGUAGAUAUCUGGAGGAACACCGGUGGCGAAGGCGGCAUCCUGGACCGGCAUUGACGCUGAGGCGUGAAAGCCAGGGGAGCAAACGGG
rnacentral:rRNA from 1 species